rnacentral:rRNA from 1 species
CCAGCUCCAAUAGCGUAUAUUAAAGUUGUUGCAGUUAAAAAGCUCGUAGUCGAAGUUCUGGCUGGUCCUGUUUUUGGCUCCGGUCGACUCAGGACCUAGUCAUCCGUCGGAGAACCCUUGUCGUCCUUUACUGGUCGCUUGGGGGAACUGACCCUUUACUUUGAAAAAAUUAGAGUGUUUCAGGCAGGCUCUCGCCCGAAUACUCCAGCAUGGAAUAAUGGAAUAGGACUUUCUUCUAUUUUGUUGGUUAUUAGUGGAAAGUAAUGAUUAAUAGGGACAGUUGGGGGCAUUCGUACUUAAUUGUCAGAGGUGAAAUUCUUGGAUUUAUUAAAGACGAACUAAUGCGAAAGCAUUUGCCAAGGAUGUUUUCA